rnacentral:rRNA from 1 species
UUUAUAAACUAUAGCAUGUUGCCCAACGCGCCAUAGAAGAUUGUCUUGUCAGAUUCGGGUCAGCUAACACGCAACUGAGCGGCACAGACAUACGUCGGAACUUAAGGGCGUCGAGGGGAGGGUGAGUAAUUAGGAAUUGACCUGGCCUGGAGGAUAGCACAAGAAGUAAUCUGCUAAUACUUAGGUCAAAGAGGGACGUUUGGCCUCUCGCGUCGGAUAGCCCAGUGGGAUUAGCUAGUUGGUGAGGUAAUGGCUCACCAAGGCGACGAUCCCUAGCUGGUUUGAGAGGAUGGUCAGCCACACUGGGACUGAGACACGGCCCAGACUCCUACGGGAGGCAGCAGUGGGGAAUAUUGCACAAUGGGCGCAAGCCUGAUGCAGCCACGCCGCGUGUGUGAAGAAGGCCUUCGGGUUGUAAAGCACUUUCAGUCAGGAGGAAAGGUUAGUAGUUAAUACCUGCUAGCUGUGACGUUACUGACAGAAGAAGCACCGGCUAACUCCGUGCCAGCAGCCGCGGUAAUACGGAGGGUGCGAGCGUUAAUCGGAAUUACUGGGCGUAAAGCGUAUGCAGGCGGUUUGUUAAGCGAGAUGUGAAAGCCCCGGGCUCAACCUGGGAACUGCAUUUCGAACUGGCAAACUAGAGUGUGAUAGAGGGUGGUAGAAUUUCAGGUGUAGCGGUGAAAUGCGUAGAGAUCUGAAGGAAUACCGAUGGCGAAGGCAGCCACCUGGGUCAACACUGACGCUCAUGUACGAAA